UUUAAUAGCAUGAAAGUUGGAGUGCCACGUGACCCCCUCUUGUAAUUUCAAGAUUUAAUUACAUUAAAAAAAAAAAUUGGUUAACAUUGAAAAUGAAACGCCAAACUCUAUAAGUACACAAUAUCAACUCUCUCCUCCAACCGUCAACUCUCUCCCCAAACCUUCAACUCUUAAAAGUUAAUAAACCCAAUUACAUCAACCAAUUCAGAGCACCAAUUAUUUCUAAUCUCAAAAACUAUCUCAAAUCUCAAAUUAUGAGUUUAAUUUCAAAAAAAAUGAAUUCUCUGGAACCCAAUUUCAUCGACUUCAUCUACUCAUCCUCAACAUGGAGGUCGCUUGGAAUCAUCAACUCUGAAGGUCGCUGGGAAUUCUCAUAGUAAUUUAAGAUUUGGUAUGUAUAAUUUAUGUGGAGGAUGUUGAAAUUUUCGUGGAGGAUGUCAAAUUUUUGUGAAAUUUCAAUGGGAAGAUUUUGCGAAGGCUAUGAUGUAUUGAAAUUUUAUAUUCGUACAAGUGGUCUUUCUGAUGGUGCAAGAUUACUCAUGGAAUCGGAGAAUAUGUAGCAAAUCUGGUCAGGGAUGUAGCUGAAGCACCAUGGUUUUGCUACUGCAGUAGGCUUCUGGGUUGUGUCUUCUAUCGUGGUUGCAGUGAAACUGCAGUCUGUUAUUGAUACUUGGAAUUUGGUUGUUUCUACUUUGAAUGACAUAGUUGAUAGUUAAUACCAUGUAUCCAAUAUAUGUUACUCGCCUCCAUUUAUGCAAGCUAUCUCAAAUUAAGUGUUUGUUAGCAAAUGGGGAGGAAGCUUCGCACAGAGAGUGGCAUCAGAAAGACUUGUGAUCAUACUCCCUCCGUCCCUUAAUACUCGCACCGGUUUGACCGGUGCGGAGUUUAAGACAUUUGACUUGACUUAUUAAUUUAAUGGGUGUUAGUUGAUAGUGGAGUAUUUUUUUAAUAUAGUUAGUGGGAAAUGUGUAAGAGGUGGGGAGUGAUAAGUAGGGGUGUGAAUUUUUAAAUGAUUUUUUGUAGGGAAUAGGGGUGUAGGUGGGGUUAGUAAGUAAGUGUGAGAAAUAAUAUAAUAUUAGUAUAAAUUUCCAUUUAUAGAAGCGUUGCAACUAUUAAGGGACGGCCCGAAAAGAAAAGCGGUGCGAGUAUUAAGGGACGGAGGGAGUAGUUGAUACAAUGAUCAUGUGACUUAUGAUAUUUUUUUAAAGACCAGGCAAGGUUUUUUCUUA